CCGCCACGCAGCGAGCUGUCGCCGCUGUUACUGCGAUACCAUGUUAGAGAAGCACCGAGGAACCAAAACGAGCUCCGGUGGAGAUAAAACAACUCUCGCUGAUUGUUGGAAGACUUUACAAUCCACCACAAAAGCUAAAAGCUCCAUCGUGUACACCAUGAACCCCCACAGUCUCAACUGAAACCAUCGUUUUCAACCGACAGACAAAACCGCACAAGUUAGGUGAACUUCUCAGCAGCGAUACUUUUGUCUAAUAUAAAGCUCAUUUCACUUAAUGUCUUCCCCCAAAACGCACCGUUGCCUAAAAUCAAUAUUAAAAGCAACAAUUUUAAUAACAAUGUAUUUAUAUUUUUCAACAUUGUUGAUAUUGUUCACUCACCAACAGGAAGAACAUGUUUCUGUGUGUCACAGGAAGAGCGAGGCAGCCUUCCUUUUUUUUUUACAUUCUACAUUUGCUCAAGUAUUUUUAAAAAUUAGAGUCCACAGAUUUAUUUCUAAAGUUCUUAUAAUAACGUGGGGAAAAAAACCUGUCUAUCUAGAAAGAUAAAUAGACAGAUGCAAGAAGCGUGCAGUUUAUUUAGUAAAAUAUGGUCUUUAUUACCGCCAAAGAGGAAGAUAAACAUUGUUAUAGCGAUGAGUUUGAUGGGUUCCUCGGCAUCACGCUGGGAUCCACAUGCAGCAUAGAAUUAUCACCUGUGUCCUUUUAUCAAAACUGAAAAACAUCAUGUGUUUUACUUCAAAGGUGGCAGACUUUUUAACAUGGGCUUCAGCUUUCUUAA